GAUGAACGCUGGCGGCGUGCAUAACACAUGCAAGUCGAACGAAGAAACUUAGUAGACUUCUUCCGAAAGACACUAAGCGGAGUAGUGGCGACCGGGUGAGUAACGCGCGAGUAACCUGCCUUACCCACGGGGAUCGCCUUUUGAUACGAAGUAUAAUACUCUAUAACACCAUACAAGCACAUGAUAGACUGUUCAAAGUGCUAGCAGCGUAAGAUGGACUUGCGUCUGAUUAGCUAGUUGGUGAGAUAAACGAUCUCCAAGGCGACGAGCAGUAGCCGGCGCGAGAGAGCGGACCGGAACACUGGGACUGGGACCAGGCCCAGACUCCCACGGGAGGGAGCAGUGGGGAAGUUUGAACAAUGCGGGAAACCAGGAUGCAGCGGCGUCGCGUGAUUUAGAAGGCAGGCGGGUUGUAAAAAUCUUUUGUAUAGGAAGAAAAUGACAGUACUAUACGAAUAAGGUCCGGCUAAUUACGUG
rnacentral:rRNA from 1 species